UCUGUAGGAUGUUUGUUAAAUACGGGGUGAAAUCCGGGAGCUCAACUCCCGAACUGCCCUGUAGACUGAUGAACUAGGGUACUGGAGAGGUAAGCGGAAUACCAAGUGUAGCGGUGGAAUGCGUAGAUAUUUGGUAGAACACCAAGAGCGCAGGCAGCUUACGGGACUUUAACCGACUCUGAAAGACGAAAGCGUGGGGAGCAAACAGGAUUAGAUACCCGGGUA
rnacentral:rRNA from 1 species